UCACUAAUCGAUGGUAUGGAAACAAUGGAACGUUAAAAAAACAAGUGUUAGGAAUACGUAUAAAUAUCAGAACUAACAUAGGAUAGAUAUCAAUAGAUUUCGAGGUACUCAUCUCUUUACAUCAAUUGUAAAUAUGUUGUUCACGCCAGCUUUUCUCGUAGCUGUCGCAGCAUUCGCUGUAUUACUUGAUGGCGCACUAGCAGAUCUCCCCAUAUCUCCACGUGAUUCGUCUGGGAGACACGUUUACGUUUCCUAACCAAUGGAACUUCCACCGGGUGACAGUGGCGCUGUACUAACGGGGGUUCUAUUAACUACAUUUCAUUCCCUGGUUAAGAUUAUACCUUUUACAAAUUGAUUCCAUCAAUACUGUA